UGAGAGGCGGAGAGAGCGAGCACUGAGGGAGAAUGAAUGGGGGAAGCAGACUCUCCACUGAUCAGGGAGCCCAAUGCAGAGCUUGAUCCCAGGACUCUGAGGUCAUAACCUGAGCCAAAGGCAGACGCUUAACUGACUGAGCCACCCAGACGCCCCUGAGGUGAUAGUUUUUAUGUCAGAUUCUCCUAGGGUUUAUUGUUGUUUGUACCGUUUCUAAACUAAUUCUGUAAAGUCUGUAUUUUUGUCAUGUGCGGCCACUGAAGCCUUUGCUCAAUUAGUGGUCAGUAAAUGAUUGGACAGAAACUUCUUAAAUCCCUAGAACCAGUUAAGUCUGAUCUUUGUUGAGGAGCUCUGUGUGUGUGUGUGUGUGUGUGUGUGUGUGUGUGUGUAUGGACACUCAGCACUCUGCCAGGCAGCUUACUAGAGCCUUAGCGUUCGCUUUUUGAUUGCCCAGAACCUCAAGGUGAAUUAGAUGUGAGAACUUAGGGCCUUCCUCGAUCUUUCUUGAACAUGUGCACACAACUUUAAUACUUACAUAUGCCCUUCUAGAUUCCCAGGGAUAUGUCUGAGCUUUUCAAAGCCCCUAUGGGUAUCUUAUUCCUCAGCUUAUGCUUUUAAGCUUUUUGAUUUGUGUAUUGUUGGACCCAACUCUCAUCCAUCCUCUAAAGCAGCUGUGAUGCUAAAACAUUUGACAAACAGCCCCCAGGAUGAAGCUUUUAAAAGAGUUUGAGGUUCAAUAAAUGAGCCUUUCUGGUGGACUCUUCCCUAUCUGGGAAGCACCAGGCAGGUCAGAUAAUGACUUCUCUUUUGGAAUGAGGCUUUGAGAGAACUCCAUCCCUGUUCUGCUCACUCUGGUUACUAGUUGUUAGUGUGACUGAACCACUGUGAGUUCACUCCUUGGUGAGUCACAGAUAUACCAGGUGGAGUUGUCACACAGGUAAACAUUAUUUGCUGCAAGUGAGGAGAUCACAGGGAAUAACUUGCAAAGCUGUGAUUCCCUGAGCAAGUGUGGUUGGGUUCCUUUUAUUUA